rnacentral:rRNA from 1 species
AUGGGAAGUACCACCUCGAUCUCUCCAGCCACGACCUCUCCGCCAUCGGCGCCGAAGCCGCCGACAUCAAGCACUGCCAGUCCAAGGGCGUCCCCGUCUCCCUCUCCAUUGGUGGCUAUGGCACCAGCUACUCGCUCCCGUCCAACCGCUCCGCGCUCGACCUCUUUGACCACCUCUGGAACUCCUACUUCGGCGGGUCCAAGUCGGGCGUCCGCCGCCCCUUCAGUGACGAGUGGCUCGACGGCGUCAACCUCUUCCUGGAGAACGGCACACCGGCGGACCGCUACGACCUGCUGGCGNNNNNNNNNNAGGGCGGGGAAGCCGCUGCACCUGACGGCGACGGUCCGGUGCGGGCACCCGCCGGCAGCACACGUGGGGCGGGCGCUGGCGACGGGGAUCUUCGAGCGCGUGCACGUGAGGAUCUACGAGGAGAGUGACAAGGCGUGCAACCAGUACGGGGCAUGGGAGGAGGCGUGGGACAGGUGGAUGGCGGCGUACCCGGCCACCCGGUUCUUCAUCGGGCUCACGGCCGACGACAAGUCCUACCAGUGGAUACACCCCAAGAACGUCUACUAUGGCAUCACGCCGGUGGUGCAGAAGGAGGACAACUACGGCGGGGUCAUGCUCUGGGACCGAUACUUCGACAAGCAGAGCGACUACGGCCAUCGUCGAAGAGGGUGA